AUGAACGCUAGCGGGAGGCCUAACACAUGCAAGCCGAGCGGUAGAGAUCUUUCGGGAUCUUGAGAGCGGCGUACGGGUGCGGAACACGUGUGCAACCUGCCUUUAUCAGGGGGAUAGCCUUUCGAAAGGAAGAUUAAUACCCCAUAAUAUAAGAAACGGCAUCGUUUUUUAUUGAAAACUCCGGUGGAUAGAGAUGGGCACGCGCAAGAUUAGAUAGUUGGUGGGGUAACGGCUCACCAAGUCUACGAUCUUUAGGGGGCCUGAGAGGGUGUUCCCCCACACUGGUACUGAGACACAGACCAGACUCCUACGGGAGGCAGCAGUGAGGAAUAUUGGACAAUGGGUGGGAGCCUGAUCCAGCCAUCCCGCGUGAAGGACGACGGCCCUAUGGGUUGUAAACUUCUUUUGUAUAGGGAUAAACCUACCCUCGUGAGGGUAGCUGAAGGUACUAUACGAAUAAGCACCGGCUAACUCCGUGCCAGCAGCCGCGGUAAAAC
rnacentral:rRNA from 1 species